rnacentral:rRNA from 1 species
UACGGGGGGGGUAAGCGUUGUUCGGAAUUAUUGGGCGUAAAGAGCGUGUAGGCGGUUUGGUAGGUCCGCUGUGAAAACUCGAGGCUCAACCUCGAGACGCCGGUGGAAACCAUCAGGCUAGAGUCCGGAAGAGGAGAGUGGAAUUCCUGGUGUAGCGGUGAAAUGCGCAGAUAUCAGGAAGAACACCCGUGGCUAAGGCGGCUCUCUAGUACGGUACUGACGCUGAGACGCGAAAGCGUGGGGAGCGAACAGG